UACAGAGGUCUCAAGCGUUGUUCGGAUUCAUUGGGCGUAAAGGGUGCGUAGGCGGGUCUUUAAGUCAGGGGUGAAAUCCUGGAGCUCAACUCCAGAACUGCCUUUGAUACUGAGGAUCUUGAGUUCGGGAGAGGUGAGUGGAACUGCGAGUGUAGAGGUGAAAUUCGUAGAUAUUGGGAAGAACACCGGUGGCGAAGGCGGCUCACUGGCUCGUUACUGACGCUCAGGCACGACAGCGUGGGGAUCAAACAGG
rnacentral:rRNA from 1 species